CAUGCUUCGAGGCACGAGUCGCGACCCGUGCGCGCGCGAGAGCGGCGUGGGGGUGGGGGAUAUUUAACCGGCCGGGCGCGACGCUGGAGGAGUGUGCGAAAGGGAGUGUGUUGUGUGUGGGUAGAGGAAGGCGUGUCGAGAGGUGGCUUUCCGUGACCAUCACGUCAACUUCAUCGCUGCCAUGACUUUAUCGUCGUUCUACUAUGACCCGCCCGAGUAGCUGUCGGACUGGCCGCGCUUGUUCUUGCGUGCAGAGUUCCCGUGCCGCCACGACUACUCCUUCUUGCACGACCUGGAGUGGCUGAAGCCGCGGUGGUAGUACCUGCCGUAGCCGCUGAAGGAGCCGUUCCCGCAGUGGACGGUCGAAUAGUCGAGGUGGGAGUAGCUGGUGCUGUUGCCGCCCGCGCCCUUCCACCCGCGCCUCCGCCUCGACCUCGUCACCCACUGCUCGGACGGCAGCGACUGCUGCCCCCUCAGGUUCAAGCCGGAGUGGAAGCUGACCCUCCACCUCUUCGACCCCCACGGGCCGCGGUAGCAGCAGUUGUUGAUGGUGUCGAGGCUCAAGGACGAGUUCUGCCAGUGGGAGGUGCUGCAGGGGCCGGCGCCGUUGGAGAGGAAGCAGCGGUUGAGGACCUAGAUGGGGCGGCGGUGGAUGUGGAUGUCGGCGCAGAAGAAGCGGUUGCUAUGCAUGGACGGCUCGGUCUACGGCCGCCGCGACUUCGGCAUGGCGCUGCUGCUCGAGGCCUUGGACGCCCCGCUGCUAGCCGUCCCCGGGAUGGUCCUCGUGCUGGCGCAGAUGGCGAUGCUGCAGAUGUUGCUGGAGCCGCUCCCGGCGGGCCAGGAGCCGCCGUCGCGGCUCGUGGGAAUGGGCGCCGCGCCGGCGUGCCCGGCGUUCGGGUUGCGGUCGCUGGGCUCGGACCUCUCGGCCGACAGCGACGACCUCGUCUAGAUGCACGGCGCCCUGCUCUUCAAGCCGGUGGAGUUCUGCAGGCUGAAGGACCCGAUGAGGUAGUUCCGGUAGUGCGUCCCGUAGGACGGCCGCCACGCGUGGAUGCAGCUGUGGUGGGGGCCGCUCAAGCUGAGGAAGGUCCUGUAGUACUUGGAGAUGCUCCCGCCGUAGUUCGACGGGUACCACGGGCGGGAGCUCCUCGACGCGUUCGUCAAGGGCGAGGUCGAGUAGUUCCUGGACGAGGGGCACCCGCCGCUGAGCGACGACUUCGAGGGACACGGUGUAUAGUAGGUCCGCCUGGUCGUCCGCACCUCCUGGCUGCUCCUCAAGCGCGCGCUCCACGAGCGGCCGCAGUUGGGCCAGUACUAGUGCGCAGAGUGCCUCAAGGGCGGUUUUUCAUCAGAACUGGGAUCGUUCAAACCACUGGUGUGGUCGUGGUAGUGCCGCCGUGUGUAGGUCUUCUUGGAGCUCCCGGAGUGGCACGUCGUCCGCGACCUUUCAUUGUCCGAGAUGUAUGAACUAGUGGUGCUGGCCAAGUACGGCAAGGACUAGCUUCAGUUGUUGGACGGGCCGUUGAAGUAGAUGCGGUGGUCCUGGGAGAAGAAGGACGCGCCGCUGCCGUCCGAGUGCGGCGAGCGGUAGCUCGACUCGCUCGGGCAGUAGGACCCGCCGGAGUGGUGGCGGUUCUCGUUCCACAUGUGCGGCCACGGCUCGCCGUCGCAGCUUCCGACCCACACCCUCAAGCGGUUCCGGAUGCAGCGGCAGUUGCUGAGGCCGACCGUGGUCGAGCAGUCGGUGACCGACUUGUGGGUGCGCCACUACCUCGGCAAACACUAGAGCUGCUUGGCCGUGGAGUCGCACUGCGUGGGCCACGUGUUCGACGACUCGGGCGUGAUGGCGCUGUGGUACUGGUAGUUGCGCGACCGCGCCGUCUGCGAGUAGUUGCGGCCGCCGUAGAAGCUCUACUGCCACAAGGGCCCGUUCAAACGCGACCCCUACAGCAGCCACCACAUGUUCCUGACCUUCAAGUGGCUCGUCCCGGACGGGCUGCUAGAGUAGUUCUCCCCGUACCGCCACCUCCUGGAUAGCUCGGGAAUGUUCCACGCCGAAGACCACAGCCUGAUGGGCAUGCGCCGCCUGCCCGACCGCUAGACCGUGCGGUAGCUCGUCAUGCACCCGCUCAUGGACCGGUAGAUGAUGGGCCUGCUGCCGCACGACGCCCCGCUGUGCCUCGACGUCCGCACCACCUUCCUCCGCGCGCUCCAGCCCGUGCCGCUGGAGUUCCUGCGCGGCACCACCGGCUCCUACGUCCCGCACCCCCUCGACCGGUUCCGCACGUGGUGGUAGUAGACCUAGCCCAGCCGCGACGUGCGCCGCCAGUUGAAGCCCGUCAUGGGCAUGCGCCCCAAGGAGGGCUUGGCCGGCUGCCACUCGGCCGCGGCGUACGGCCUCGGGCCCUGCCUGCGCAUGCGCCUCGACCUCGCGCUGGGCCUCGCCCGGAAGUAGGUGUGGUAGUGGUCGGUCUAGGUCUGGUAGUAGCCGUAGAGCGACAACCUCCACGACAGGUUUGUGAGGAGACUGCUCGAGAUGGACCCCGUCGCGCUGUGCGGCCUCACCUGGAGCCUGGGGUUCCGGGACCUCCACAAGUUCGCCAAGUCGCUCGCCGACCACCUCUAGCUCUCGUUCCACCACCCGUACUUGGUGCUGGGCGUCGACAACUUGGCGUUGCCGGGCCGGUUCGAGGGGAUGUACGACGAGAUGGGGUUGUGGAGGCUGGUGUUCCCGCGGCGGCGGCCGGAGUGGCGGUUCCCGUAGGGGUUGUCGUAGAGGUAGACUCGUACCAUGUAGCCUCGAAGCAGAGCAGGUGCGGUUGGUGCCACGCACGCGCAGGCUUAUUUCUCGCACGCUGAGCAAGUGGUGCAUGCCCUUGCACAGCUCUCUGAUCACGUCACACACACUGUGACACACACUCGAACACAGUCGUUAACAAGCUAGUGCCACAAAAAAUAAACACACAACGACAACCGGCACACGUAGAAUCAAUACGUAUCCGACCUACACGAAUAUUUUUUUUAAUCGUUAUUUAUUUCGUAAAUCCAAAGGUGCCUUUGGCACAGUAGUAUUU
rnacentral:rRNA from 1 species